UUGUCAUACACUUUUUGUAGCCAUUCAUUAAAAUCAAACUAUCAACUCAUUGGUUUAUUAAUAGAACUAUUAUUAAACAUUUUCCUUAAUCACUACUAUACUGAUAUUUUUUCAACAUUAGCGGCUAACAAGUACUCAGUUGUUGCAACAACUACCCACAAAUAAAUAGUGAACAGGUGAUUGUCUGUUUCCAUGAUUUCUAUUUACAGUAGAGAUUGUUUGAUACUUGCUACUUUCCUUUUAUAAUAGAAAUUUAAUUAUUGCCUUCUCCCUAUUCUUAUCCUUCUCCUCCAUCCUAUAAUGCUCUAUUUUCUUUCUCUUCAUCUGUUUUUUUUUUCAUCUCUUUCUCAAUUACCAUUACCUCUAAGUUCCAUUAAAAGUGAUUUCAGUUUUCCAUUCUAGGAAAAAUAUCUGGGCAGAAAAGGAAUAAGCAGUGGGAGAGCUGUCUGCUCUUUUUAAAAAUAAGUUUGAGCAAAUAUACUUUGCUUCUAAAACUAGAUCAGCGACUUAAAAAGAAAUUACAGAAUUUCCCUCUUUUCUUAGACAAAGCCUCUUUCUAUGACAAAUCCUCAAGUAACAGGGAUAGUUCCCCCACUCUUUCAGCGGUAUCUGAUAUCUAUUAGAUAAGAUAAGCUUCAGGAAUGCAGUGAGCCAAUUACUUGGGUUGCCCUCAACAAAUCUACUUACUUACUGCUGGAUCAAACUAAAACAUUCAUUAUUUAUACCCCUAUUUCUGUACAGUGGGACAAAAUUACAGCAUACAAAAGGUAAAAUACAAUGUCACGUGGAUAACAAAAAACAUCAGUUUGAAAAUAAUUUGGGCGUAAUACCCCCUGUACAAAAUUUAAUCACCCAAGUGUGCUCAAUGAUCUGUCAGUGCACAAGGAUGCAAUUAGAAACAGUAAAACAAAAUCCUUUUUGGGAUAUCAUCUGUUGAGCAAAGAUUCCCAGGAGAUAGUUUUCCCUUGCAUUUGAGAAAAUUAGCACAGAAACACAUAAACCUUCUAUAUUCAGAAACAUAUAAACCUUCUCUAAUCCAAGUCCAAUUAUUUAUUCCUUUAACUCCUCCAAAAGCAAUUUCAUAUUCUACAUGUGAGCAUGCCAACAGCAAAAAAGCUGCUUUUAGUAUUGUUGACAUAGUAUUUUUUUUUAAUAUCAAAUUGGCAAAUAACACAUAUUUCAGGUUUGCCCUAAUGGAGAAUGUCAGGCUCACCCAAAUGUAUCGGUGCUUUCUUUGUAGACUUUCUCAAUCAGUCAGUCAAGCAAAGCUAUUAACUUACUCUAAUUCCCUACAGAAGUCUUUGGUUUUACCACCUAUAAAAUGCCUAUACAGCCAAUUUCCCAUUAGCAAAUGUAAAAGAUUUUUUUAUAUUACUAUUAAGUUGCUUUAUCAAAUUCAAUUUUAGGUCCCUGAAGUCUCUUUCUUGGUUCCACUGUCUGUAUAAUAGGUAUUUGUAUUUUUGUGGUUUCUUUCUUUUCACAUUGAGAAAGAUAAACAACACCAAAGAGUAAUAGAUAAUUUGGUUGGUAUAAAGAAAGUAGAAUGAGGGACAAAAUGGGCUAAAUUCACUUUCAAUUACAAUGACUAGAAUUUUAUUUUCUUCACUACAGGCCCAAUAGUAAAGUAUAAGCUGAAAAGUUGCAUCUGGUGAUCUUACAUGAAUGCAAAAACUCCAGCGAUUUAAAAAAUAUAAUUAAAAUAAUGUAAGCACAGAAUCAUUAACUUUCUGGCAUAUCCACAUUUGUCUGACUUAUUUCCGUACUGAGCAUAAUAUCCACAUACAGUCUUCCCUCAGCUAAUGCAUAGUAUUACCUGUCUACUCGUAAAUCCCGUUUCUCAUUCUCUAUAGUUUCUCACACAUUCUUACUUUACUUGUUUUCCUUAAACAAUUAGCUUAUUUUAUUUUUGCUUACGGGGUCAUUUGUUUAAUAAAAAUCUUCUUUUCCAAUGUUUAUUAAAAAUGCAUCUGCCUUUUUUACUCACAUUUUAAACCAACUUGUCUCCUCCUUCUCUUUGUCUUGAUUGUUUUCUCUACACCUCAUAUUUCUCCUCUACUGCACCUGGGUCUCAUUCUGGUUGAGUGAAGAAAGGCCUGACUGAAGGCACUUUCCUGCCUCGCUUUGUAGACUUGGAGGAAAACAGAAUGAAGUUUACACAUGAGUACAAACCCAUGAAUGAGGGGAAAGCACAGGGAGCUUGUGUCAAAUUCUCCAGCAGAAGAGUAUGUGCACAGUUAGAAUUGAAAAGCAAUGAAAUAAACAAUGUAAGACACAGGGGAGAGGUACCAACCAGUGUAAGAGCCAGAGAAGCAAAGUGGGAGCCAGGUGAGGAAGUAGCUAGAGGAAGUUUCUGGCCGACAUUCAUUAAUUAUAAUUCUAUCAAAUAGCCUGUCAUGUUUGGUUUACAAUGAGUCUUCAGCCAAGCUCAGAAAGACAAUUUAAAAAUGUUUUUUAAUUACUAUAUAGAUUAAGAUAUAAAAUUCUUUCAUCUUUAUAAUUUAAGAUCCUAAAAUGUAAAACAUGUCAAGACUGAUCAUUAUUAUUCAUGUAUUAGAAGUUAAAUAGCAGAUGCCUAUAAAACACCACAUAUGUUCUACGGAAUAAGAAUUUAAAAGAAUGAAAAAAAGAGUGUGAGAAGGAAGAAAAUAAGCUAGACUUCAAGACAAAUAUGGUUAUUAUGAAUAAGCAUUGGCUGGACUCCCAGCUUUCUAGUGGCUAAGAAUAAAGAAAACCGUGGUGUGUAAUAAAUUUUUAGUAUCUGCUAUGAGGAAGCAAAUCAAUUUUUCAAGAGAAAUGAACAUUAAACUUUUGCCCAUACUAAUCUUACAACACAGGUUCUUACAUUUUUUUAACAUGAUUCCUUUUAGAAUAUCAUAAAACCUGUAAUACCCAUCCUAGAAAAUCACAGAAGGCUGACACUGACCUUCAGCGCCUCGGCUCCAAUGCCAUGGCGCCCUCUAGGAAGCUCUUCGUGGGUAGCAGGGUGGAGAACUGGAAGAUGAACAGGCAGAAGAGUCUGGGGGAGCUCAUCGACACUCUGAACGCGGCCAAGGUGUCCACUGACACCGAGUGGCUUGGGCUCCCCCCACUGCCUAUAUCGACUUUGCCCGGCAGAAGCUACAUCCCAAGAUUGCUGUGGCUGUGUGGAACUGCUACAAAGUGACUAACGGGGCCUUCACUGGGAGAUCAGCCCUGGCAUGAUCAAAAACUGCAGAGCCACGUGGGUGGUCCUGGGGCACUCGGAGAGAAGGCAUGUCUUUGGGUAGUCCGAUGAGCUGAUUGGGCAGAAAGUAGUCCAUCCUCUGGCAGAGGGACUCAGAGUAAUCGCCUGCAUUGGGGAGAAGUUAGAUGAAAGGGAAGCUGGCAUCACUAAGAAGGUUGCUUUUGAGCAGACAAAGGUCAUCGCAGAUCACAUGAAGGACUGGAACUAGGUCGUCCUGGCCUGUGAGCCUGUGUGGGCCAUUGGUACCGGCAAGACUGCAACACCCCAACAGGCCCAGGAAGUACAGGAGAAGCUCAAGGAUGGCUUAAGUCCAAAGUCUCUGAUGCAGUAGCUGCGAGCACCUGUAUCAUUUAUGGAGGCUGUAUGACUGGGGCAAUCGGCAAGGAGCUGGCCAGACAGCCUGAUGUGGAUGGCUUCCUUGUGGGUGGUACUUCCCUCAAGCCCGAAUUCGUGAACAUCAUCAAUGCCAAACAAUGAGCACCAUCCAUCUUUCUUACCCUUCCUGCCAAACCAAGGGACUAAGCAGCCCAGAAGCACAGUAAUUUCUCGUCCCCUGCACAUGCUUCUGAUGGUGUCAUCUGCCCCCUCUUGGCCUCAUCCAAACUGAACCUUCCUUUACUGUUUAUAUCUUCACCCUGUAAUGGUUGGGACCAGGCCAAUCCCUUCUCCACUUACUAUAAUGGUUGAAACUAAACGUUACCAAGGUGGCAUCUCCUUGGCUGAGAGGUGUAAGGGAUGGAAUCUGCUCCUGGGUCCCCUAGACCCUCUUGAGGGCAGGAGAGAAAAUAUCCUGUCCCUUCUUAUACCAUGAGGCCAAGCACCUCCCCUGAGAAGCCAGGAAUACUGCCCUCUCCCACGGUCCCCAUGCCUGUGUGUGCUGUGUAUAUGAACCACCCACAUGUAAAGGAAUAAACACCUGGCACU